ACGGAAGGCAGCAGUGGGGAAUAUUGCACAAUGGGGGAAACCCUGAUGCAGCGACGCCGCGUGAGUGAAGAAGUAUUUCGGUAUGUAAGCUCUAUCAGCAGGAAAGAAAAUGACGGUACCUGACUAAGAAGCCCCGGCUAACUACGUGCCAGCAGCCGCGGUAAUACGUAGGGGGCAAGCGUUAUCCGGAUUUACUGGGUGUAAAGGGAGCGUAGACGGCUUUGCAAGUCUGAAGUGAAAGCCCGGGGCUCAACCCCGGAACUGCUUUGGAAACUGUAGAGCUAGAGUGCAGGAGAGGUAAGUGGAAUUCCUAGUGUAGCGGUGAAAUGCGUAGAUAUUAGGAGGAACACCAGUGGCGAAGGCGGCUUACUGGACUGUAACUGACGUUGAGGCUCGAAGGCGUGGGGAGCAAACAGGAUUAGAUACCCUGGUA
rnacentral:rRNA from 2 species